rnacentral:rRNA from 1 species
CAGUGAUGUUUAAGUUUAACGGCCGCGGUAGUAUGACCGUGCUAAGGUAGCAUAAUAAUUUGUCCUUUAAUUGGGGACUGGUAUGAACGGUUGAACAAGAAAUUAACUGUCUCUACUGCAAACUUUGAAUUUUACAUUUAAGUGAAAAGGCUUAAAUAAUAUGGGGGGACGAUAAGACCCUAUAAAUCUUUAUGUUUUAACUAAUAAAUUUUACAGAUUAGUUAAAUAUUUAGCGUUAUUAAGUUGAAAUAUUUUGUUGGGGCGACAGGAGUACAAUAAGUAACUGCUUUGUUUAUAAAUUAAUUAUCUUUAUGAUGAAAAUUGUUAUUGAUCCUCUCUUGGAGAAAUCAGAAUAAGUUACUUUAGGGAUAACAGCGUAAUCUUUUUUGAGAGUCCAUAUCGAAAAAAUGGUUUGCGACCUCGAUGUUGAAUUAAAGAUCCUUGAUGGCGUAGGGGC